AUGGAACGGCUCGACCGACCACUGCACCUGGCCCUACCUGACCUGGGACGCGUCACCAGCCUCUCCCUCGCCAACACCGGCGUCGCCGGCCCGUUUCCCGACGCCAUCGGCGGCCUCUCCCGCCUCACGAGCCUCAACAUCUCCAACAACGACAUCACCGGCGCCUUCCCGACCAGCGUGUACCGAUGCGCUUCGCUCCGGCACCUCGAUUUGUCCGAUAAUCACCUCCACGGCGAGCUCCCCGCGGACAUCGGCAACGGCAUGCCGCUGCUGCAGGCAAUGAACUUGUCCGGUAACACGCUCUCUGGCGAGAUCCCAAGGAGCGUAGCCACGCUCAGAUACCGGCUGAAUUGGGCGCCAUGCGGGUGCUCGACGCACUUGACCUGUCGUCAAACAAGCUAUCCGGCGACAUACCGCCGCCGCUUGCCGGGCUACAGCUCAGCUCGCUCAACCUGUCAUCCAACCAGCUCGAAGGCCAGCCCCGCCCCCGCGACGUACCCGCACGGCCCGUCGACGUACGUGGAACUGCCGCCGGAGCAGGUGGUUCUUCGGGAGGACCGCCAUCCCGACGAUACGCCGGGUUACGUCGUCGCCCUGCGGGCGUCGGUGGCUGCAGCGGCGGCUGCGAGGGAGGCCGCCGAGCAGGCGGCAGCGAUCCAGGCGGCGGCGGCGAUUCCGCCGGUGGUCCCGCAGGCGGAGGCGGAGGCGUCGGAGUCGUCGGACGAAGACGUCAUCGACUGGGAGCGGUUAGCCCAGGUCAGCGGCGACGACGACGACGACGGUGACGGCGCGGCGGAGUUCAUCGAUCUCGCGGCUAGCGACGACGACGACGGAACUAUAAUUGCACCAGUGUCUCAUGAAUACGUUCCGAAGAAAUACUAUGCCUUAGUGCAAAAUAUUAAGUUGAUAAGGAAGUUCAACUGGAAUGCAUUCACUUCGCAAUUCUGUUUGUCGGAGAUUGGUAAGCUUCUGCAGGACGGCCAUGUUAGGCAGUGGCCCCAGGGGAACCUCGCCCUUUUGCAAUACCUAUACUGGGAGAAGGUGCAACCAAUCACCGGUCCAAAAUAUGAUCCGUUGGCAUUGUUGAGCCCGCUGAUGAGGAACUGGACGGAAGAUAUGGCUGUGAGAAGAGACAAAUACGACUAUGAAUAUGGUCGUGGUGUUGGGAUGGAUGAUGACGGCGUUGAUGUAACUUCUCGUGGAAACACACCUUUUUACUGCACACCUGAGUACUGGGAUAGUUUCAAGGGUGAUAUGGAUGAUCCUAUCCAAGUACCAGAAGUAUCAGAUGAAAAAGCUGCCACAUCUUUAGGGACGGACGAGAUCACAUCGCAUGCAUUGCUUGGUUCUCGAGGAGUACAAGAGGAAGUGGAGGAGGUUACUGGCAGGCGCAACCGCAAAGGAUCACAACAUGUCAAGUCUCCUUAUGUGGUUCCUAAACCGAACAAGCGUGCAAAACGUUCUGCGAAAGGAAAAUUGUUCCAAAAUGGUGGUGUUAACAAAUCUAGUGAUGGGUAUGAUGUGGUGAAAGCGUCCAUCAAGUACGUGCGCGCGCAUGAGUAUUCACAAAAACAUGCCAAAACAGAAAUUUUCAAUGAUGGCAUGGAAGAAGACCCGGAAAGAAGACCGCCGGGUAACGAUUAUGAAGCAGAUUCGCAUAAUAAUGGACCCGUGAAUAGAUGUGAGGACGAGUAUUUCAAAAAAUCAAAGACUUAUAUUCCUCUAAACAAGGAAAACACUCACUGGGUUACUGUCGUCAUGCAUAGCGAGAAGAGAGAGUUUCAGGUUCUUGACUCGUUGAUGACCGGAAAACUUGACAGUGUUAUUAGAGAACUUGUUGAGGACCUGAGAAAACAACUAGCAGAAGAUAUCCAAGAAGCAAAUGCAACCGGAAUUGUGAAUUAUCCGGAUGUUUCCAAUUGGCCUAUUCAAAUGUAUGACAUGCCAAAACAACAUGAUGGGAAUUCGUGUGGAAUAUUUCUCCUUCGAUGCUUUCAAUAUUGGGAUGGUGACAAAUGGACAGGCUUAUUUUCACAGAGGUCAAUUGAUGAUUCGAGAGAGGUAAUGAUAGCGCAACUUAUCUUUUCCGAAAGAAACAAGCUUGAUGAAGUGAAAAACAAAGUUAUUCGGAUAUCAAAGAAGAAGAAAUAG
rnacentral:rRNA from 1 species